CUGUAGCGUUGCCUGGGGUUGUUGUGGCCAAAGUGCAGGACCCAGCAUUUGGUCUUGUUGAACCUCAUCCCAUUGGCUUCAGCCCAGCUAUCCAGCCUAUCCAGAUCCCUCUGUAGGGCCUCGCUACCCUCAGGCAGAUUGACACUUCCAGCCAACUUGGUGUCAUCUGCAAACUUACUGAGGGUGCACUCAAUGCCCUCAUCCAGGUCAUCAAUAAAGAUAUU
rnacentral:lncRNA from 1 species